rnacentral:rRNA from 1 species
CCCUUAGAUGUUCUGGGCUGCACGCGCACUACACUGAAGCUAUCAACACGUUUUCCCUCCCUGAGAAGGGCGGGUAACCUUUUGAAUCAGCCUCGUGGUAGGGAUCGGGGCUUGCAAUUGUUCCCCGUGAACCAGGAAUUCCUAGUAGACGCGAGUCAUAAGCUCGCAUCGAUUAAGUCCCUGCCCUUUGUACACACCGCCCGUCGCUACUACCGAUUGAACGUUUUAGUGAGGCAUUUGGACCGACGCAUCUCAGUUUAACCGCUGGUUUGUGUUGGAAAGACUUCCAAACUUGAGCGUUUAGAGGAAGUAAAAGUCGUAACA